UGGAUCCCAUAUGUCUUAUGAAAUGGACCUCACACAGAAGGUUUCCAAGUGCUUCAUUGAGAACUUCUGACCAGUGAUAUGCAGGACUGAAGGUCAUUUCAGAGGCUACAAACAUCUUUGCACAAAUGACUGCGUUUGAAAUUCAUAAGAUAGUGGAGUCAAGAUAAAGAGCCCUAAAUACACAUGAUGGAGAUUCCACCAUACAACAACUGCUUGGUGAAUAGAAAUAGGAAGUUGAAGAAAUUUCUCCCAAAGAAAGAUAUUAAAAAUACUAAUUAAGAAAAUACAAGAGAAGAGUUUUU